CCUAUACAACUACAUUGUUCUUAGGAGGGACUCACACUUCAAACAAGCCACCAUAGUGCAAUAGUGAAUGCAGAGUAUGGGCUGGGGCUUUAAAGGGAUGUUAGGGUGAGAUCCAAAAAUGGACAGUGCUGAGUGUCGUGAUGCCUAACUUUUAGUUUCCUAGAAAAUCACAGCAACAACACUGGGAUCUAUAAAGCCUGAGUUAGGCACCGAGGUUCCCUGUGCAGUGAAUGAGAGAGCAGAUGGGCCUGAUCCUGCUUUUACUGAAGUCAGCAUUUUUAUCAAGGACGUGGAGUAGGAUUGGGCCAUAAAUCUGGGAUCUGUUGGCAUACCCUGUGCGGACUCUUCACUUGGGGUGAGAUACCAUUCAAAGAUGCUAGCGCUGGAUAGCCAUCAGUAUGGAGAUGCAGUAGCCUGUUCAGUGCGCUAAAAAAAGGACUCCACCCAUAGAGCUCUGUACCAGGACACUGAGCACAACAUACACAUCCAAGGAAACACAAGAUAGCAGCACUGCAUCAUGAGAACUGGCAUCAGCUCACUAAUAAUCUCAAGAGAAGAAUGUUGUCAUAAUAAACAUGUGAUAAGAGAUUGCACUUUCUUUCCCGGCUCCACUCACUUUGCCCUGGCCAGCAUUACAAUGGGUAUAUUUAUAUCAGGAGUUAGUAUCCACUGUCUCCAAGUACUUACUGUUACAGCUGUAGCCAGCUCUCAGGAAUGGUUAAUCUUUUGGUCUGCAUCAUAUAUUGUACAUCAUGCUCCUUCCCCUCCUCUGAAAUUGCAGGUUUCACUAAAGAUAA